rnacentral:rRNA from 1 species
UACGGGGGGUGCGAGCGUUGUCCGGAAUCACUGGGCGUAAAGGGUGCGUAGGUGGCGAGGUAAGUCGGAUGUGAAAGCUCGGAGCUCAACUCCGAAAUGGCAUUGGAAACUACCUUGCUCGAGGGUUGGAGGGGGGACUGGAAUGCUUGGUGUAGCAGUGAAAUGCGUAGAUAUCAAGCGGAACACCAGUGGCGAAGGCGAGUCCCUGGACAACUCCUGACACUGAGGAGCGAAAGCGUGGGUAGCAAACAGG